rnacentral:rRNA from 1 species
UACGUAUGGUGCAAGCGUUAUCCGGAAUGACUGGGUGUAAAGGGAGCGUAGACGGUUGUUCAAGUCUGAUGUGAAGGCCCUCGGCUUAACUGGGGGAGUGCAUUGGAAACUGAAGGACUAGAGUAUCGGAGAGGCAAGUGGAAUUCCUAGUGUAGCGGUGAAAUGCGUAGAUAUUAGGAGGAACACCAGUGGCGAAGGCGGCUUGCUGGACGAAAACUGACGUUGAGGCUCGAAAGCGUGGGGAGCGAACAGG